rnacentral:tRNA from 1 species
AAUAAAGUGCCUGAUAAAAGGAUUAUUUUGAUAGAAUAAAUCAUGUGAUUUUAAUCACCUUUAUUA